UACGUAGGGUGCAAGCGUUAAUCGGAAUUACUGGGCGUAAAGCGUGCGCAGGCGGUUAGGUAAGACAGAUGUGAAAUUCCCGGGCUCAACCUGGGAACUGCAUUUGUGACUGCCUGACUAGAGUGCGGCAGAGGGGAGUGGAAUUCCGCGUGUAGCAGUGAAAUGCGUAGAUAUGCGGAGGAACACCGAUGGCGAAGGCAACUCCCUGGGCCUGCACUGACGCUCAUGCACGAAAGCGUGGGGAGCAAACAGG
rnacentral:rRNA from 1 species